rnacentral:rRNA from 1 species
UACGAAGGGGGCUAGCGUUGCUCGGAAUCACUGGGCGUAAAGGGUGCGUAGGCGGGUCUUUAAGUCAGGGGUGAAAUCCUGGAGCUCAACUCCCAGAACUGCCUUUGAUACUGAGGAUCUUGAGUUCGGGAGAGGUGAGUGGAACUGCGAGUGUAGAGGUGAAAUUCGUUGAUAUGUGUCGGAACACCCAUGGCGAAAGCACCCUUCGUGGACGCAACUGACGCUCAGGUUCGAAAGCUAAGGUAGCGAACAGG